AACGCAAAUUUCACAGCCAUUCACAACUAAUAAAGCAUCUCCUUGAGGUUGAGCUCAAUUUUAAUUGACGCUCUUGACCCAUGACGAGCGUUGGAUAUUUGUUGUCGAUUUUGUUGAGGCUUGGACUGGAGAUCAAAAUUUGUUAAUCUUGGGUGCAGUAUUCCAUCUGAAUUAACUUUGUUUAAUUCUAAGGGACCUCCUUCGUGAACCCGAAUGGGGAGUAGUGCAAUGAUUGGCAAGACAGUA
rnacentral:snoRNA from 1 species